AAAACCGUGUAACGAUACGUCUAAUAAGACUCACACAUCUUAUAUAACAUUAGAGCCUGUUGAUUUGCAACCCUCUGCGAAUAAGACAUCGAAAACACCGAAUUAUGAUACUAUACAAGAUGUACUCCUACCAAUGUCUUCGUUAUCUGCGCAAGGACCAAUAGUACAUUCUGAAACUACUCAAGAAAAUGAUGGAAAUGAAGGCGCAUUCAUAACUGAAAUGUAUAACAAGGAAAGCCAUUUCCAACCCUUAUCAGGACGGCGAAUAAUUGAUAUAAAUUAUUUUUUACAAAAAUUCCAAGAAAAAGCACGCCACAAUGAUCUAUUUGAUUGUAAAUCAAGCAACUUCUGCUUAGUUGGUGUAAGAAGACAUGGACUGAUUUCAAUCUUUAAAUUUAAAUGUAAUAUGUGUAAAGAAAUUUGUUCUAUUUCAUCUGAAACCACCAAAGAUACCGAGCAUGUAGAUGCUAAUAUAGCUGCUACCACUGGAGUUGUAGCCUGUGGUAUAGGUUUUUCUCAGAUUGAAGAGUUAUUUUCAGCAAUAAACAUUCCUAUAUUUUCUACAAAAUUCUUUAACCAAAUGCAAAAUAAACUUUAUAAGAAAUGGGAAGAAACUGCAUGUGAAACAAUGGAAGCCGCUGCCAAUAAAGAAAAAGAAAUUGCUAUAGCAGAUGGCCGGACCAAAAACGGGUAUGCUGUCAUAGAUGUCUAUGUGGAUGGAGCAUGGUGUGCCAGGUCAUAUGGUUCAAACUAUAAAGCUUCAUCAGGUGCAGCAGCCAUAAUUGGCAGAAAUACGGGUGAAGUUUUGUACUUUGGUGUCAGAAAUAAAUAUUGUCUCGUAUGUGCCCGAGCCGAAAAUAAAAAAACUGCAUCACAAGACCACUUGUGUUUCAAAA